GACGAACGCUGGCGGCGUGCCUAAUACAUGCAAGUUGAGCGCUGAAGGUUGGUACUUGUACCAACUGGAUGAGCAGCGAACGGGUGAGUAACGCGUGGGGAAUCUGCCUUUGAGCGGGGGACAACAUUUGGAAACGAAUGCUAAUACCGCAUAAAAACUUUAAACACAAGUUUUAAGUUUGAAAGAUGCAAUUGCAUCACUCAAAGAUGAUCCCGCGUUGUAUUAGCUAGUUGGUGAGGUAAAGGCUCACCAAGGCGAUGAUACAUAGCCGACCUGAGAGGGAGAUCGGCCACAUUGGGACUGAGACACGGCCCAAACUCCUACGGGAGGCAGCAGUAGGGAAUCUUCGGCAAUGGACGAAAGUCUGACCGAGCAACGCCGCGUGAGUGAAGAAGGGUUUCGGAUCGUAAAACUCUGUUGGUAGAGAAGAACGUUGGUGAGAGUGGAAAGCUCAUCAAGUGACGGUAACUACCCAGAAAGGGACGGCUAACUACGUG
rnacentral:rRNA from 1 species